rnacentral:rRNA from 1 species
AUGGCAUGGACAAGUUGGGACAAAAUGAUUCUCCCCAAAGCUAUGGGGGGCAUGGGCUUCAGGGAUAUGCGAGCGUUCAACCAAGCGCUGCUGGCCAAGCAAGCGUGGAGGCUCCUUGACUCUCCUGACAGCCUAGUUGCGAGACUAAUGAAGGCAAAAUAUUACCCUCAAGGUCAGUUAUUGGAUACAGUAUUUUCAAUCUCUGGAUCAGCUGUGUGGAAAGGCAUUUUGCACGGUUUGGAGCUGCUCAAGAAAGGUGUGAUAUGGCGGGUGGGGAACGGGGAGCAUAUUCGGACAUGGCGAGACCCUUGGAUCCCUCGGCCUUCUUCCUUCCGGCUGAUCACCCCAAAAGGCUCCUGCCGUCUCAAUCGUGUUUCUGCAUUUCUAGAUGCUAACGGGGCAUGGAGGGCUGAUCGCCUCCGUGAAUUUUUUUGGGAGAUGGAUGUCCAGCAUAUCCUCAAGAUCCGUACCUCUCCAAGACAGCGAUCUGAUUUCAUCUCAUGGUUUCUAGAGAAGAGUGACGUCUUCUCUGUCAGAAGUGCAUACAGAUUAGCUACAUACAAUCACAAUAUAACAUUUUCUGAAGGGGCAACAAGCGCGUCAGCGAGUGGGUCCCGGUCCUUAUGGAACUGCGUAUGA